rnacentral:rRNA from 1 species
UGGGUAACCUGCCUCAAAGAGGGGAAUAGCCUCCCCGAAAAGGGGAGAUUAAUACCGCAUAAUAUGUUUAAGUCGCAUGACUUUAACAUCAAAGGAUUUUCUUUUAAGAAAUUCCACUUUGAGAUGGACCCGCGGCGCAUUAGCUAGUUGGUGAGGUAACGGCUCACCAAGGCAACGAUGCGUAGCCGACCUGAGAGGGUGAUCGGCCACAUUGGAACUGAGACACGGUCCAGCCUCCGUAGG